AUGGCCACCUUGCAAUCCUACAUUCAGGACUUCGUGUUUAAAUUUGAGUGCAUAAUGUCCCCUCAGGUUCGAAUUGCUCUGAAGUUAUCAGGGCAUUUCCUUGUAGGGCUUGUUCGCAUUUAUUCAUGGAAGGUGAACUACCUGUUUCAAGAUUGUAACCCACCUAAAAAUCCCUUCUGCCUUCCUGUUUUUGUUUGUGUAUGUCGCUCUGUAAAGAUUGGUUAG
rnacentral:rRNA from 1 species